rnacentral:rRNA from 1 species
UUGACCUCAAAUCMGGUAGGACUACCCGCUGAACUUAAGCAUAUCAAUAAGCGGAGGA